rnacentral:rRNA from 1 species
GAUGAACGCUGGCGGCGUGCCUAAUACAUGCAAGUCGAGCGAACGGACGAGAAGCUUGCUUCUCUGAUGUUAGCGGCGGACGGGUGAGUAACACGUGGAUAACCUACCUAUAAGACUGGGAUAACUUCGGGAAACCGGAGCUAAUACCGGAUAAUAUUUUGAACCGCAUGGUUCAAAAGUGAAAGACGGUCUUGCUGUCACUUAUAGAUGGAUCCGCGCUGCAUUAGCUAGUUGGUAAGGUAACGGCUUACCAAGGCAACGAUGCAUAGCCGACCUGAGAGGGUGAUCGGCCACCCUGGAACUGAGACACGGUCCAGACUCCUACGGGAGGCAGCAGUAGGGAAUCUUCCGCAAUGGGCGAAAGCCUGACGGAGCAACGCCGCGUGAGUGAUGAAGGUCUUCGGAUCGUAAAACUCUGUUAUUAGGGAAGAACAGAUGUGUAAGUAACUGUGCACAUCUUGACGGUACCUAAUCAGAAAGCCACGGCUAACUACGUG